rnacentral:rRNA from 1 species
GUGAUCUGAGUUCAUACCGGAGUAAUCCAGGUCAGUUUCUAUCUAUAAGGAGCUUUUUUUAGUACGAAAGGACCAAAAAAGCAUGGCCCAUGUUUUCGACAAGCCAUCUCUACUAACUUAUGUCUUAAACUUAACCCGUAUUUAGUCCCUCUCUCUGUUCAAGAAAAGAACAGUUAACGUAGCAAAACCUGGUACUGCAAAAGAUCUAAGCCCUUUUUAUAGAGAUUCAAAUCCUCUCGUUAACUUUGAACCCAUUUCUUCUUAUCCCCCCACUUUGUUUUAUUUUGCCAAUUCUUUUGGCAGUUGCAUUUCUCACACUAAUUGAGCGUAAGGUGUUAGGAUACAUACAACACCGGAAAGGUCCAAACAUUGUAGGACCCGCAGGUUUGCUCCAACCUAUCGCUGACGGCAUUAAAUUAUUUAUUAAAGAGCCAAUUCGGCCAACCACCUCGUCUCAAACUCUCUUUCUUCUAGCACCAGUUCUUGCUUUUGCCCUAGCAAUAAUUAUCUGGACUCCCCUCCCUAUACCAACCUCCCUCUCUAACAUAAAUCUCGGCGUACUGUUCAUUCUUGCCUUAUCGAGCCUAACAGUUUAUUCUAUUUUGGGCUCCGGGUGAGCAUCAAACUCCAAAUACGCUCUCAUCGGCGCUCUCCGAGCAGUAGCUCAAACCAUUUCUUACGAAGUAACACUCGCGUUAAUUCUACUUUGCGUAAUUUUAAUAUCAGGGAACUUCACAUUACAAAACUUUAAUCUCGCUCAGGAACCAAUAUGGUUUAUUGUACCCAUUUGACCGUUGGCCAUAAUAUGAUACAUUUCAACCCUCGCUGAAACCAACCSGGCUCCGUUUGAUCUAACUGAAAGGGAAUCUGAGCUAGUGUCAGGCCUUCAUGUAGAAUACGCAGCUGGACCUUUUGCUUAUUUUUUUUAGCAAA